rnacentral:piRNA from 1 species
UGAUUGCCCCCUUAGUUGCCCCAAGAGA